GACGAACGCUGGCGGCGUGCCUAACACAUGCAAGUCGUACGGGCUUGGGGGCAACUCCAAGUCAGUGGCGAACGGGUGCGUAACACGUGAGAAAUCUAACAUUCGGCGGGGGAUAGCCGGCCCAACGGCCGGGUAAUACCGCGUACGCUCGUUGAGGGGCAUCUCUCGGCGAGGAAAGCAGCAAUGCACCGAAUGGGGAUCUCGCGGCCUAUCAGCUAGUUGGUGAGGUAAUGGCUCACCAAGGCGACGACGGGUAGCUGGUCUGAGAGGAUGGCCAGCCACAUUGGGACUGAGACACGGCCCAGACUCCUACGGGAGGCAG
rnacentral:rRNA from 1 species